rnacentral:rRNA from 1 species
GAUGAACGCUGGCGGCGUGCCUAAUACAUGCAAGUCGAGCGAACAGACGAGGAGCUUGCUCCUCUGACGUUAGCGGCGGACGGGUGAGUAACACGUGGAUAACCUACCUAUAAGACUGGGAUAACUUCGGGAAACCGGAGCUAAUACCGGAUAAUAAAUUGAACCGCAUGGUUCAAUAGUGAAAGACGGUUUUGCUGUCACUUAUAGAUGGAUCCGCGCCGCAUUAGCUAGUUGGUAGGGUAACGGCUUACCAAGGCAACGAUGCGUAGCCGACCUGAGAGGGUGAUCGGCCACACUGGAACUGAGACACGGUCCAGACUCCUACGGGAGGCAGCAGUAGGGAAUCUUCCGCAAUGGGCGAAAGCCUGACGGAGCAACGCCGCGUGAGUGAUGAAGGUCUUCGGAUCGUAAAACUCUGUUAUUAGGGAAGAACAAAUGUGUAAGUAACUAUGCACGUCUUGACGGUACCUAAUCAGAAAGCCACGGCUAACUACGUG